rnacentral:rRNA from 1 species
AACGAACGCUGGCGGCAUGCCUAACACAUGCAAGUCGAACGAAGCCUUCGGGCUUAGUGGCGCACGGGUGCGUAACGCGUGGGAAUCUGCCCUUCGGUUGGGAAUAACACAGAGAAAUUUGUGCUAAUACCUUAUAAUGUCUUCGGACCAAAGAUUUAUCGCCGAGGGAUGAGCCCGCGUAGGAUUAGCUAGUUGGUGGGGUAAUGGCCUACCAAGGCGACGAUCCUUAGCUGGUCUGAGAGGAUGAUCAGCCACACUGGGACUGAGACACGGCCCAGACUCCUACGGGAGGCAGCAGUGGGGAAUAUUGGACAAUGGGCGAAAGCCUGAUCCAGCAAUGCCGCGUGAGUGAUGAAGGCCUUAGGGUUGUAAAGCUCUUUUACCCGGGAUGAUAAUGACA